CCACUACCCAUUAGGGUUAUGACCUAGGGUCAUUUUGGACUUUGCACAUGAGUGGAUGGGGAUGCUUUACCCUCCAUCCAGCAGCCACCACCAAGAGUGAAAAUCAGUUCAUCCUCCAAGAGAGAAGAAGAGAGAAAACCAAUAGAGCAAGGGAGGAAGAGGAAGAUUGAAGGAAGAAGCAAGGGAGCUCCUCCCCAAGGUUGUGAUGGUCCAGAUCCACUACCUUGCCUCCUUCAAGCUUCGCUUCCACCAUCUUUGGUGAGAUUGUUCCAAUCUCUAGUUCUUGAGCCCCAAAUCUUGUUGUGUUCAUCCAAGAUUCAGAAAUCUUGAUGUAUGAGAUCCUCUAGUGUUGUCUAGAGAAGAACUUGUAGUAUCCCACAUUUGAUAAUAGUGGAAGAGGAUUUGGGUGGCUUCAGCCCGUGGUUUUUCCCCUCAAGUUAAGGGGUUUUCCACGUAAAAAUCUGGUGUCUCUUUGUUGAUGCUUGAUGUUGUCCAGAAACUUACUCCUACCACAAGACACUAGGCUGAGGAGUGUCUUGCCUGCCGAGUAACAUUUUCUGCCUCCAUAUAUGCUGCUGCAUAUGUCUCCUUCCGUGCUAAGCAACGAUCCUUGAAUUAGUACAUGAUGUGGUGCUGAGAUUACUUGUUUCCGCUGCAGUUUUCAGUUAACCACAAGUGCAUUUGUGUGCUAAUUCCCAACACAAAUAUAGUACUCCCUCCUUUCCUAAAUAUAAGUCUUUUUAGACAUUUCAAAUGGAC
rnacentral:rRNA from 1 species